rnacentral:rRNA from 1 species
CGGGAGCUUGCUCCCUUAGGUCAGCGGCGGACGGGUGAGUAACACGUGGGUAACCUGCCUGUAAGACUGGGAUAACUCCGGGAAACCGGGGCUAAUACCGGAUGCUUGAUUGAACCGCAUGGUUCCAAUCAUAAAAGGUGGCUUUUAGCUACCACUUACAGAUGGACCCGCGGCGCAUUAGCUAGUUGGUGAGGUAACGGCUCACCAAGGCGACGAUGCGUAGCCGACCUGAGAGGGUGAUCGGCCACACUGGGACUGAGACACGGCCCAGACUCCUACGGGAGGCAGCAGUAGGGAAUCUUCCGCAAUGGACGAAAGUCUGACGGAGCUACGCCGCGUGAGUGAUGAAGGUUUUCGGAUCGUAAAACUCUGUUGUUAGGGAAGAACAAGUACCGUUCGAAUAGGGCGGCACCUUGACGGUACCUAACCAGAAAGCCACGGCUAACUACGUGCCAGCAGCCGCGGUAAUACGUAGGUGGCAAGCGUUGUCCGGCAUUAUUGGGCGUAAGCGCGCGCAGGCGGUUUCUUAAGUCUGAUGUGAAGCCCCCGGCUCAACCGGGGAGGGUCAUUGGAACUGGGGACUUGAGUGCAGAAGAGGAGAGUGGAAUUCCACGUGUAGCGGUGAAUGCGUAGAGAUGUGGAGGACACCAGUGGCGAAGGCGACUCUCUGGUCUGU